AGGCCUUAGCCCGGUCCCCAGCAUUGCGGCAUCGAUAGCAGGGCAUCUGAGGAGGUGAGACUUGGCGUGCAGUGGUCCCGGUGGAUUAGAGGUUACCUGAAUGCCGGGCACUCAUGGCCACUUGGUGGCCUCGCCCCUUUUGCCACUGAGCGAGGAGAGAAUUUGGAAGGUUCUUCACUUGUAGGGGGAGCAGCUCGGUCCUCGCACGCCCACCAGUUUCUGGCCGCUCUGACCAGUGCUUGUAGGGGAGGCAACUCAGUCCUCGCACGCCCACCGGUUUCUGGCCGCUCUGACCAGUGCUGCCCUUCCUGAGGACGGUGUUAAAGAGCAGGUUGCCUGGGGCGCCCUCUGACACACCGGCUCAGGUG
rnacentral:lncRNA from 1 species